CACGUAGGGCGCGAGCGUUGUCCGGAAUUAUUGGGCGUAAAGAGCUCGUAGGCGGUCUGUCACGUCGGCUGUGAAAACCCGAGGCUCAACCUCGGGCCUGCAGUCGAUACGGGCAAACUAGAGUACUGCAGGGGAGACUGGAAUUCCUGGUGUAGCGGUGAAAUGCGCAGAUAUCAGGAGGAACACCGGUGGCGAAGGCGGGUCUCUGGGCAGUAACUGACGCUGAGGAGCGAAAGCGUGGGGAGCGAACAGG
rnacentral:rRNA from 1 species